AGAGUUGAUCAUGGCUCAGGAUGAACGCUGGCGGCGUGCUUAACACAUGCAAGUCGAACGGACUCUUAUCGACAGAAGUAGUUUAUACGGACGUUGGUAGGCGUUAGUGGCGGACGGGUGAGUAACGCGUGGGAAACCUGCCCUAUUCCGGGGGAUACCAGUUGGAAACGACUGUUAAUACCGCAUAAGCGCACAUUGCCGCAUGGCAGAGUGUGAAAAAACUCCGGUGGAAUAGGAUGGUCCCGCGUCUGAUUAGGCAGUUGGCGGGGUAACGGCCCACCAAACCGACGAUCAGUAGCCGACCUGAGAGGGUGACCGGCCACAUUGGGACUGAGACACGGCCCAAACUCCUACGGGAGGCAGCAGUGGGGAAUAUUGCACAAUGGGGGAAACCCUGAUGCAGCGAACCGCCGCGUGAGUGAAGAAGUAUUUCGGUAUGUAAAGCUCUAUCAGCAGGGAAGAAGAUGACGGUACCUGCACAAGAAGCCCCGGCUAACUACGUGCCAGCCGCUGC
rnacentral:rRNA from 1 species